rnacentral:rRNA from 1 species
AGAGUUUGAUCCUGGCUCAGGAUGAACGCUAGCGGCAGGCUUAAUACAUGCAAGUCGAGGGGCAGCACGAAUAGCAAUAUUUGGUGGCGACCGGCAAACGGGUGCGGAACACGUACAGAACCUUCCUUUAAGUGGGGGAUAGCCCAGAGAAAUUUGGAUUAAUACCCCGUAACAUUAUUUAGUGGCAUCACUAAAUGAUUAUAGAUUUAUCGCUUAGAGAUGGCUGUGCGGCUGAUUAGGUAGUUGGUGUGGGUAACGGCCCACCAAGCCUUCGAUCAGUAACUGGUGUGAGAGCACGACCAGUCACACGGGCACUGAGACACGGGCCCGACUCCUACGGGAGGCAGCAGUAAGGAAUAUUGGUCAAUGGACGCAAGUCUGAACCAGCCAUGCCGCGUGAAGGAUGAAGGUCCUCUGGAUUGUAAACUUCUUUUAUCUGGGACGAAACCCUCGCUUUCUAGCGGGAUUGACGGUACCAGAGGAAUAAGCACCGGCUAACUCCGUGCCAGCAGCCGCGGUAAUACGGAGGGUGCAAGCGUUAUCCGGAUUCACUGGGUUUAAAGGGUGCGUAGGUGGGUCUGUAAGUCAGUGGUGAAAUCUCCGUGCUUAACAUGGAAACUGCCAUUGAUACUAUAGGUCUUGAAUUUUCUGGAGGUUAGCGGAAUAUGUCAUGUAGCGGUGAAAUGCUUAGAUAUGACAUAGAACACCAAUUGCGAAGGCAGCUGACUACGGGAACAUUGACACUGAGGCACGAAAGCGUGGGGAUCAAACAGGAUUAGAUACCCUGGUAGUCCACGCCCUAAACUAUGGAUACUCGACAUUCGCGAUACACAGUGAGUGUCUGAGCGAAAGCAUUAAG